UACGUAGGGUGCGAGCGUUGUCCGGAAUUAUUGGGCGUAAAGCGUGCGCAGGCGGCUUUGCAAGACAGAUGUGAAAUCCCCGGGCUCAACCUGGGAACUGCAUUUGUGACUGCAUGGCUAGAGUACGGUAGAGGGGGAUGGAAUUCCGCGUGUAGCAGUGAAAUGCGUAGAUAUGCGGAGGAACACCGAUGACGAAGGCAAUCCCCUGGACCUGUACUGACGCUCAUGCACGAAAGCGUGGGGAGCAAACAGG
rnacentral:rRNA from 1 species